ACGGGAGGCAGCAGUGGGGAAUAUUGCACAAUGGGGGAAACCCUGAUGCAGCGACGCCGCGUGAGUGAAGAAGUAUUUCGGUAUGUAAAGCUCUAUCAGCAAGGAAGAAAAUGACGGUACUUGACUAAGAAGCCCCGGCUAACUACGUGCCAGCAGCCGCGGUAAUACGUAGGGGGCAAGCGUUAUCCGGAUUUACUGGGUGUAAAGGGAGCGUAGACGGUAAGGCAAGUCUGAAGUGAAAUGCAGGGGCUCAACCCCUGAACUGCUUUGGAAACUGUCAAACUAGAGUGCAGGAGAGGUAAGUGGAAUUCCUAGUGUAGCGGUGAAAUGCGUAGAUAUUAGGAGGAACACCAGUGGCGAAAGCGGCUUGCUGGACUGCAACUGACACUGAGGCUCGAAAGCGUGGGGAGCAAACAGGAUUAGAUACCCUGGUA
rnacentral:rRNA from 1 species